CCCGGCCGCCAUGCAUAAUUUUUUAAAAUGUUUGCGUAAUUAAAUUUUUCUGUUGUUUCUUUUGCAGCUUCUGGGAUUUCUGGUUUCCUUAGAAAGGUCUUAUUCACUACAAGAUUAUUUUUAAAAACCUAGAAUUUCUUCUACCAUGUGAAUGAUUUCAUUUUUAUUUUGAAAUGUUUGAUCCUUCCAGAACUUAUCCUGGUGUGAGGUGUGGCUCCAAUAUAAUUAUUUUCAAGGUGGCUACCCUUUGUCCAACACUAUUUAUUAAGCAAUCUAUCUUUAUCCCAUUAUUCAAAUGCCACCUUUUUCACCAACUAAAUUUCCUGGAUAUAUUUAGGCAUAUGUCCAGUCUUUUGUGUUCUGCUAAUGAUCCUGAACACGUCCCAUCAGCAGACUACAGCUUUGUACCGUGUUUUGCUGUGGGCAGUGGCGCGGUGCUCAUACCCCAGUAUUACUUGUUUUCAUACUUUUCUUGGCUAUUAUAGCUGGUUCAGUUUUCCAAAUGAACUUUAGAAUGCUUGUUUAAUUCCAAAUAUAAACAUCUUAUUAUUUUUAUUGUGUAUCUGUUAAGUUUAUAGGUAAUUUAGGGAAAAUUGACAUGUUUGUGGUGCUGAGCUUUCCAGUGCAAGUUCAUUUAUUCAAGUCUUUUAAGCCCAAAAGAGCAUUAUAAAAGUUUCUUACCUCCUUUUCAUGAUUGUGAAUUCCCUGGGAGCAAGAAUGGAGUCAGGUUUUCAGUAUGGCUUAUUAGUAAUGAUCUGUGUAAUUACUGACAAACAUAAUUUUUAUUAAAUAUUUUUAGAACCCAUUUUCUUCUAACAUAAUUGCUUGCCAUUUUGUGUGGUGUUUUCUGCACAUCAAAGAAAGGCAAGAUGUGGUACAAAUGCUGAUGUCAAAAGUCAGCAUUUUAAUUCUUACAGUCAUCUCUUGAUCAGUGUGUUCUUUAUUUUUAAUAAAAAGUUGUAUUUACUUAGAAGCAUUUCGAAUGUCAGCAAAACAGCUGCAGCUUUUUUUUUUUUUUUUUGCAAUUACAGAGUGGUAUUCAGUUAAGAGAAAAACAAUUAUUUUGUAUAAGCUGCAUUGGAGACAACUGAAGAUGAAAAACUACCAUCCCCAUAGAUAAUUAAUUUGUGCCGUGCACCAACAAGAACCUGCUUUAAAUUUCCAUGCCAAUUUACAAUGCCUAUACUGUACUAGGCAAGGUUAGUGGCUAUUGAAAAUACCAUCAGGACAGGGAUAUCUGAAGACACAUUCGGUAGUGUGUUAACUAUACAAAAAAGACCCUGUACCAUUUAAAAACAACUUAUACAGCCUUACAUUUCAAUUUUUUCCUUUAAAAGGAGUGAGUUAUGUACAAGGGGGUUAAAUGCUUUAUAGACAAGAAAAAAAGCUACACUAGAACCAACUUAUUCAUCAUCAUCAUCUUAUCUUCCUCCUCCCUCCUCAUCUUCAUCCUCAUCUUCCUCCUCUUCCUUCUUUUUCUUGCAUUUUUCAGCCUUGAAAACUCCCUUUUUUGCUGCAGCAGGCUUUCCUUUAGCUCAAUAUGCAGCAAUAUUCUUUUCAUAUUUUUCCUUCAGCUCACAGCCUUUUCUUUUCAUAAGGCUGCUUGUCAUCUGCGGCAGUGUUACAUCACCAGUGGACAGGCCAGGAUGUUCUCCUUUGAUUUUUGGGCGAUAUCAGGAAGAAGGCCGAAGGAGCCCUCUUGGGUGCAUUGGGAUCCUUGAACUUCUUUUUCUGUCUCCUCUUUAGGAAAGGUAUAGGUUUUCAUUUCUCUUUCAUAACGGGCCUUCUCCGCCUUUCCCAUAUCUUCACAUUUUCCUUUCUCUUUAGCAGACGUGGUCUUCCACCUCUCUGAUCUCUUCUUAGAAAACUUUGAGGCAUUGACUGAAGCAUCUGGGUAUUGCUUCUUAUGCUCCUCCCGACAAGUUUGCACAAAAAAAUGCAUAUAAUGACAUUUUCCCUCUUGGCUUCUUAAGGUCUCCCUUGCCCAUGUUCUUUCUCCUCAGUGAGGCAGAGUCACCCAGUGCCCAUCUGGCCCUCACUUGCCCCGGUGCUGUCUCUGUGGAGCUCAGUGUACUGCAAUGGCUGUGAGAGCGGAAGCCAGGUGCAGCGUCCUCACUCUCUCUGCUCUCGCUCCAGACAGCACAGCUCCUGUUCAAUUAGCGUGUUCUUAAAAGAGCAUUCCGUGUAGAUAAUCCAGAGGCUUCACAUUUAGACAUUUGACUUUUCCCCCACUAGGAAUAGUGACAAAUAUAAUGUGAUUUUCCAGCUGUGACUUUCCCUCCCCCAUAACCCUGGCACAGAUUUUGAGGUAGCCUUAGGCUGAGAAGUAGCCAAAAGGCAAUACUGGGUUGGGGAAAGAGCAGACCGUUGGCAUCUAUUUGUGUGUCCUCCAGACAGAGAGAGGUGACCAGGCAGAUGGGGACAAGGCACGGGCGUUCUGUGUGCUGAGCGUCAGCGUGCAUCCUGUUUGGUCAGCGUGGAGUGAGUCUGGGAGCUUUGCACUUAGCACUUUGGCAGCUCAGGUCUGGGAACGGUGAUGCCUUCUCCUAAAGUUGGGUCACUAACAUUUGGCUGUUUGCAGGAUUAGUUCUCUAAUGAUGACAUUUGUCAGAUGGCACCCAGGAGCUUCUUAGUAAACUACCCCCCCACUUAAAGCAUGGUGUCAAAACCGGGCUGAAAUGCGACCUGAGGAGAGAGGACUGUGCUUUAGUCUGUGUAGGGAGUGGCAGUCCUGCAUGCUGUUUGUGGAACAGGAAGAUAGUGGGAUCAGCUGCAUUUAACAUGUGGAUACAGCUCUGAGAGGUGUUAACUGGUUUUCUUUAAACUUUAGAAAGGCACAUUUAUUUUUCCUUUGAGCAAAAAAGUACAGUUUCUUUUUAAGUGGUUGUAUUGUAACUUAUGGGCCUGUUCUCCUAACAUUUAUGUUUUAUAGCUUGCAUGAUAUGCACAAAAGGUCAUAGAUGUGCCAGCUUGGCCCAGUGGCCUCCGUCCUGUAUUUGGAAACCAGUUACAGGAACGGAAGAGGAUUGCUCUUUUGUGUCCUCAGGCCACUUUUGGUCAUUUCAGGCAGAAUCAGUCUCUGCAUUGGAAUUUUCCUCUGCAAAUCCUGCAAUUCAGGAAUAGAGCAUUUAGCAACAACAGUGAAAAUGUGAUGUGUGACAGCUGUGGAGAAGAAUUUGCCUCCAGUGAGAGGAAAAUGCUGUGUUCAAAGCGGAUUUCUGAUGAGCCUAUUAAUGGGUGUUUGGGAAGCUGAAUAUGCCGUCGCCAUUUUGAGAUAAAAGGUCCAAGGUGUUUGUUCCUGAAGCUAAUGAGGAAGCCGGUGUCCGGCUUCAGGCUUGCCUCCCAGCAGGACUGGUGAGAUUGCAUGCAGGGUCUACACCACAUCUGGCCUUCCUGAAAAGAAGGGGCUUCCAGUGGGGGUGGUGUCCUAGUGGAGAAGGGUGAGGCCCCGUGGGGUGGGCUCACGAAAGACCUGCUGUCCAUCUGCUGGCUUCAGGUCAGCCAGGCUGGGGGUUAAACAGAGAGGCCAGAAAGGAAACCAGAGGUGCCUGUGGUGGCAGCAGCAGCAGCCCUGGCUUCCAGGCCUGUGAAGCGCGGAGGCUCUGGCAGCUCAGGAUCUGGGAUAGGAACUGACAAAAUGUUCUCCUAAACUCUGGCCCUUCCUGGCUGUCCUGCCUUCCCUGUGUGCACACACAUGCCUGCACAUAUGCACACACAGGAGGCCCAGAGCUCAGUUUUCAGACUCAUGGAGCUGACACAAAGCCUCACUCCCAGAGUUUCCCUCACCACUGAUACCUGUCCUUACCCAUGAAAGUAGGGUAAAAAUGUGUCCCCAAAUCAGACACCUGUCACUUUUCUAGAAGCACUUCCAUUCUCUCUUGCUCUUGCUGUCAUCACUCUCCUGGAUCUCAUUAUCUUUGGGGAGAUAUUCAGUAUGAUUUUAUUAAUAUUCUAGCUUCAUCUUAGAAAUGAUCAAAUGUGAAUAUUCAAAUUAAUUAGCCCCUAGAUAUAUCUUCUGCAGAAAAAAACUCCAGUAACAAGAAGUCAGUUAUAGUUGUGAAAAACAUGUAGAAUGAAAGCCGUGGUUUUUUGUCAAAGACAUGUGAAGACCGAAGUAGAGAAGCUCCAACAAAUUCAGUUAUCAAUUUGAAGAAACAUUAUUUAACAUAGACUAUGUUGACAGUUGAUCAGAGAGGAGAAAAUAGGUACAAAGCUGUUAUUUUAACUUCUGGUUGGGGAGUUGAUGAGGCUUGAGUGUGAUAAAGUAAGGAAAGCUUUGGACUGAAUCAGAGACCUGUCCUAUAAUCCUAGCUUUUUUUUUUUUUUUGUCCUCAUCUUUAAAAUGGGGAUGAUACCAUUGCUCAGAAUUGGGAAGAUGAAGGUAGAAGAAGUUCCAGGCAGGACGACUCACUUCUAUAAUCCCAGCACUCUGGGAGGCUGAGAUGGGUGACUGCUUGAGCCCAGGAGUUCAAGACCAACCCUGGCAGCAUAGCAAGACCCUAUCUCUACAGAAAAAAA